GCCUAGCUGGUCUAACGGUCAUGAAACCGCUCACAUAAAGCGGAGGUUCUCAGUUCGAAUCUGAGGCUGGGCG